rnacentral:rRNA from 1 species
GACGAACGCUGGCGGCGUGCCUAAUACAUGCAAGUAGAACGCUGAAGGAGGAGCUUGCUUCUCUGGAUGAGUUGCGAACGGGUGAGUAACGCGUAGGUAACCUGCCUGGUAGCGGGGGAUAACUAUUGGAAACGAUAGCUAAUACCGCAUAAUAGUAGAUGUUGCAUGACAUUUGCUUAAAAGGUGCAAUUGCAUCACUACCAGAUGGACCUGCGUUGUAUUAGCUAGUUGGUGGGGUAACGGCUCACCAAGGCGACGAUACAUAGCCGACCUGAGAGGGUGAUCGGCCACACUGGGACUGAGACACGGCCCAGACUCCUACGGGAGGCAGCAGUAGGGAAUCUUCGGCAAUGGACGGAAGUCUGACCGAGCAACGCCGCGUGAGUGAAGAAGGGUCUCGGAUCGUAAAGCUCUGUUGUAAGAGAAGAACGAGUGUGAGAGUGGAAAGUUCACACUGUGACGGUAUCUUACCAGAAAGGGACGGCUAACUACGUG